UUAUCUUUGAUCCUUCGGAUGAAGAGGUUUGUGACUGAGUGGCGGACGGGUGAGUAACGCGUGGGUAACCUGCCUCAUACAGGGGGAUAACAGUUAGAAAUGACUGCUAAUACCGCAUAAGACCACGGAGCCGCAUGGCUCAGUGGGAAAAACUCCGGUGGUAUGGGAUGGGCCCGCGUCUGAUUAGGCAGUUGGCGGGGUAACGGCCCACCAAACCGACGAUCAGUAGCCGGCCUGAGAGGGCGACCGGCCACAUUGGGACUGAGACGCGGCCCAGACUCC
rnacentral:rRNA from 1 species